GUCAAGAUAGUAAGAGUUUACGGUGGAUGCCUUGGCACCAAGAGUCGAUGAAGGACGUGGACGGCUGCGAUAAGCCGCGGUGAGGCGCUGAACAGCCAUUGACCCGCGGAUCUCCGAAUGGGAAAACCCGGCGCCGGUAAUGCGGCGUCAUCCGGUGGUGAAUACAUAGCCUCCGGAAGGGAACCGGGCGAACUGAAACAUCUAAGUAGCCCGAGGAAAAGAAAUCAACCGAGACUCCCUGAGUAGUGGCGAGCGAAAAGGGAUCAGCCCAAACUGGAUAGGUGUAAGCGGCACGCGUUGCCUAUCCGGGGUUGUAGGACGUUAUGUCCAGGCCGUGCCAGCCUGGCGACAGUUACAAAGAGUGGAACCUCGCACCACAGAGGGCAAUCGUCCCGUAGGCGAAAGCGCACUGAUCUGUCGAUUGACGUUCCUGAGUAAGACCACACCCGUGAAACGUGGUCUGAACCUGGGGGGACCACCCUCCAAGGCUAAGUACUACUUGGUGACCGAUAGUGAACUAGUACCGUGAGGGAAAGGUGAAAAGUACCCCUGAAGGGGUGUGAAAUAGUACCUGAAACCGUAGACUUACAAGUGGUCGGAGCACCUUCGGGUGUGACGGCGUGCUUUUUGCAUCACGAGCCGGCGAGUUACUCGUCAGUGGCAAGGUUAAGCGAUGAGCGGAGCCGUAGCGAAAGCGAGUCUGAAUAGGGCGACAUAGUCACUGGCGGUAGACCCGAAACUGAGCGAGCUAUCCAUGGGCAGGCUGAAGCGGGGGUAAGACCUCGUGGAGGGCCGAACCGACCUAGGUUGAAAACUGGGCGGAUGACCUGUGGAUCGGAGUGAAAGGCUAAUCAAGCUCAGAGAUAUCUGGUUCUCUCCGAAAUAUAUUUAGGUAUAGCCUCGAGUAAUUGUGUUGCGGCCGUAGAGCACUGUUUGGAUUAGGGGCCCUACCAGGUUACCGACUUCAGGCAAACUCCGAAGACCGUUACAUUUAACUCGGGAGUCAGUGUGCGGGGGAUAAACUUCGUACGCGAGAGGGAAACAACCCAGACCAUCAGCUAAGGACCCUAAGUGUUAGCUAAGUGGCAAACGAUGUCCGAAUGCAGAGACAACCAAGAGGUUGGCUUAGAAGCAGCCAUCCUUGAAAGAGUGCGUAACAGCUCACUGGUCAAGUGUUCGGGCGCGGAUAAUUCAACGGGGCUUAAGCUAGCCUCCGAAGCUAUGGGUGUGCAGGCCUGCGGGCUCUGUACGCGGUAGGAGAGCGUUCCAGUUGCGUGAAGCGGUGUCGUAAGGCCCCGUGGAGUGGCUGGAAGUGAGAAUGCCGGCAUGAGUAACGAAAGUGGGGUGAGACUCCCCACCACCGAUUGUCCAAGGUUUCCUGAGUAAAGUUCGUCUGCUCAGGGUUAGUCGGGACCUAAGGCGAGGCCGAAAGGCGUAGCCGAUGGCCAACAGGUUGAUAUUCCUGUACCACGUUGUCUCCGUUAUGACCGAUGGGGGGACGGGGAAGGGUAGGGGAUCCCAGGCGAUGGUCGUCCUGGGGCAAGCACGUAGCUAGUCGCUGUAGGAAAAUCCGCAGCGGCGUUUUGACGCGAGGUGCGAUGCCAGCUGGCUUACCGCCGGCGAGUCCCCAAUCCCAUGCCUCCGAGAAAAGCCUCUAGGCAGGAGUCGCGUGCCCGUACCGAUAACCGACACAGGUGGACAAGUAGAAAAUACUGAGGUGAGCGAGCUAACUCUCGUUAAGGAACUCGGCAAAAUCGUCCCGUAACUUCGGGAGAAGGGACGCCCCGUUAGGGUGAACUCCAUACGGAGGGAGCUCGAGGGGGCCGCAGUGAAUUGGUCCAACCGACUGUUUACCAAAAACACAGGGCUCUGCUAAGUCGCAAGACGACGUAUAGGGUCUGACGCCUGCCCGGUGCCGGAAGGUUACGCGGACUUGUUAGCGCUUCGGCGCGAAGCAAUGAAGCUAAGCCCCGGUAAACGGCGGCCGUAACUAUAACGGUCCUAAGGUAGCGAAAUUCCUUGUCGGGUAAGUUCCGACCUGCACGAAUGGCGUAACGAGUUGGACGCUGUCUCAACGAGAGGCUCGGUGAAAUUAAAGUCUCGGUGAAGAUGCCGAGUACCCGCAGCUAGACGGAAAGACCCCGUGAACCUUUACUGCAACUUGAUAUUGGAGUUUGGGGUAUCUCGCUCAGGAUAGGUGGGAGACUAUGAACCAGUGGCUUUGGCCGCUGGGGAGUCACCCUUGAGAUACCACCCUUGGUGCUCUGAGCUUCUAACACCGCGCCGUGAUCCGGGCGGUGAACAGUGUCAGGUGGGCAGUUUGACUGGGGCGGUCGCCUCCUAAAGAGUAACGGAGGCGCCCAAAGGUUCCCUCAGUACGGUUGGAAAUCGUACGUAGAGUGUAAAGGCAAUAAGGGAGCUUGACUGCGAGACCGACGGGUCGAGCAGGAACGAAAGUUGGGCUUAGUGAUCCGGCGGUAGCAAGUGGAAGCGCCGUCGCUCAACGGAUAAAAGGUACUCCGGGGAUAACAGGCUUAUCGGUUCCAAGAGUCCACAUCGACGAACCGGUUUGGCACCUCGAUGUCGGCUCGUCGCAUCCUGGGGCUGGAGUAGGUCCCAAGGGUUGGGCUGUUCGCCCAUUAAAGCGGUACGCGAGCUGGGUUCAGAACGUCGUGAGACAGUUCGGUCCCUAUCUGCUGUGGGCGUUGGAGAAUUGAGAGGAGUCAUCCCUAGUACGAGAGGACCGGGAUGAACGUGCCUCUGGUGUAUCUGUUGUCCUGCCAAGGGCAUCGCAGGUUAGCUACGCACGGAACGGAUAACCGCUGAAAGCAUCUAAGCGGGAAGCCGUCCUCGAGAUAAGUUCUCCCAUCCCCUUGAGGGAGUAAGACCCCUGGUAGACCACCAGGUUGAUAGGCCGGCGGUGGAAGCGCAGCAAUGUGCGUAGCCGACCGGUACUAAUGGGUCGAGGGCUUGACGGA
rnacentral:rRNA from 1 species